rnacentral:rRNA from 1 species
GACGAACGCUGGCGGCGUGCCUAAUACAUGCGAGUAGAACGCUGAAGGAGGAGCUUGCUUCUCUGGAUGAGUUGCGAACGGGUGAGUAACGCGUAGGUAACCUGCCUGGUAGCGGGGGAUAACUAUUGGAAACGAUAGCUAAUACCGCAUAAUAGUAGAUGUUGCAUGACAUUUGCUUAAAAGGUGCAAUUGCAUCACUACCAGAUGGACCUGCGUUGUAUUAGCUAGUUGGUGAGGUAACGGCUCACCAAGGCGACGAUACAUAGCCGACCUGAGAGGGUGAUCGGCCACACUGGGACUGAGACACGGCCCAGACUCCUACGGGAGGCAGCAGUAGGGAAUCUUCGGCAAUGGACGGAAGUCUGACCGAGCAACGCCGCGUGAGUGAAGAAGGUUUUCGGAUCGUAAAGCUCUGUUGUAAGAGAAGAACGAGUGUGAGAGUGGAAAGUUCACACUGUGACGGUAUCUUACCAGAAAGGGACGGCUAACUACGUG